UGCGGCCCCGCGCUGUUGGCGCGGCCAAGGGCGGAGUGUCGCUGCCGCCGGCUGAAUCCCGGGAGGGGCCGCGCUCCGCUCCCUCUGCUCGGCUCUGCUUCCGGGAAAAGGGAGCGCGGAGGCCGGCGGGGACAAGCCAUUCUGCUGACUUCUCCCAGCCCAGCUGUUUAAAACACAGCGUGCACACGUCGGAGUAAGCUGAAGGUACAGCUGAAGAUCUGUAGACUUAGAGAAGGUUGAAACCAUGGCAAGCCUGUGUGCAGCAAAUACCACUUUUGCCCUGGACCUCUUAAGAAAGCUGUGUGAGAAGAAAAGUGGUCAGAAUCUAUUCUUUUCCCCUUUUAGUAUUUCUUCUGCUUUGUCUAUGGUUUUGCUGGGUUCCAAAGGUAACACCGAAGCCCAGAUAACAAA